rnacentral:lncRNA from 1 species
GUCUCGCCGUUUAGCCUCCACUUAUGUAAUGAGAUUCGUCUCGCCGUUUAGCCUCCACUUAUGUAAUGAGUUUUGUAAAUAGUCUACGUUUAAUACUCCUAAUUAGUAUCUAAACAUUCGAUGUGACAUGUGCUAAAAAUAAGUCACCGGAAGAAAACGCCCCUUAUACGAAACAUUACAUUUCCCUUAAAUUUGCACUAGGGUAUCUCUAGAUUCAAAAGUUAUCCCCUCUGUCUUAUUAUCUCGCCCUUUCUAAUUAGUACCUUAAUCAUCAUGUUAUCAGUACUACUAAUGUUAAAGACGCCGUUUGUUCUUUUCCUGCAUUCACCACAACAAUGUGCGAGAUUCGAGAAUGUCAAUCCUACUCCCCAAUCAGCAUCUAAUUGCUUCUGACCUUCCGUUGAUUUCAUGUCCUACCUUCUUCCAACAACUAAUAACUCCG